rnacentral:rRNA from 1 species
UGCGUACUUACUUUCGAGUAAGUAUUUUUUAUCUAUCAUGCUUCCAAGAAAAGCUCGAACUACUUUUAAAUAUAAAAUACCUGUACCGUAAACCGACACAGGUGGGUUAGUAGAGUAUACUAAGGGGCGCGAGAUAACUCUCCCUAAGGAACUCGGCAAAAUGACCCCGUAACUUCGGGAGAAGGGGUGCCCUCUCUAAAAGAGGGCCGCAGUGACCAGGCCCUGGCGACUGUUUAUCAAAAACAUAGGUCUCCGCAAAGUCGUAAGACAACAUAUGGGGGCUGACGCCUGCCCAGUGCCGGAAGGUUAAGGAAGUAGGUUAGAAUUUAUUCGAAGCUCACGACCGAAGCCCCGGUGAACGGCGGCCGUAACAAUAACGGUCCUAAGGUAGCGAAAUUCCUUGUCGGGUAAGUUCCGACCCGCACGAAAGGCGUAACGAUCAGGGCACUGUCUCGGAGAGAGACUCGGUGAAAUAGACAUGUCUGUGAAGAUGCGGACUACUUGCACUUGGACAGAAAGACCCUAUGAAGCUUGACUGUAGCUUGGAAUUGGGUUCGGGUUUUUCUUGCGCAGACUAGGUGGGAGGCUAUGAAAAAAUACUUCUGGGUAUUUUAGAGCCAUCAGUGAGAGACCACUCUGGAAAAGCUAGAAUUCUAAUGGCGUUCCUUGAAGCAGGACGCUUGACAGUUUCAGGUGGGCAGUUUGACUGGGGCGGUCACCUCCUAAAAGGUAACGGAGGUGUGCAAAGGUUCCCUCAGGCUGGACGGAAAUCAGCCGUAGAGUGUAAAGGCAGAAGGGAGCUUGACUGCAAGACCUACAAGUCGAGCAGGGGCGAAAGCCGGCCUUAGUGAUCCGACGGUUCCGUGUGGAAGGGCCGUCGCUAAACGGAUAAAAGUUACUCUAGGAUAACAGGCUGAUCUUCCCCAAGAGUUCACAUCGACGGGAAGGUUUGGCACCUCGAUGUCGGCUCAUCGCAACCUGGGGCGGUAGUACGUCCCGAGGGUUGGGCUGUUCGCCCAUGAAAGCGGUACGUGAGCUGGGUUCAGAACGUCGUGAGACAGUUCGGUCCAUAUCCGGUGUAAGCGUUGGAGCACUGAGAGGAUUCUUCCAUAGUACGAGAGGACCUGGAAGAACACACCUCUGGUAUACCAGUUAUCACGCCAGUGGUAAACGCUGGGUAGCCAAGUGUGGAGUGGAUAACCGCUGAAGGCAUCUAAGUGGGAAGCCCACCUCAAGAUGAGUGCUCCCUAUGAGGUCACGGCAAGACCAGCCGUUUGAUAGGCAGUAGGUGUACGCCUAGUAAUAGGUUUAGCUGAGCUGUACUAAUAGACCCAUUGAUUUU